GUAUUUGUUUGGGCAGCACAUCUCCUAAAAUGGGAAUGAUACAGAGAUUAGCAAGGCUCCAGGGUAAGAAUGACAUACAACUUCAUGGAGAAGAUGCCAGCAAGG
rnacentral:snRNA from 1 species